rnacentral:lncRNA from 1 species
CUAGGAGGUCGCCCAAUCCUGUGAGUUAAAGUCAUUUAAUCAUUGCACUAUUGCUAAGUCUGAUUUAAUAUGCUAUUUUGAAAGUUCAUGCAUAAUAUGAUUAUUAGUAUCGCAAAAUGAAUGAUUUCACUUGAUUAUUAAUAUUUGAAAUAAUAUAAAUAUUAUUAUUAGUAUGUUAUAAUAAGAUAAACGUUAUUAUUUUUCCCUCACAAAUUUCACGUUGUUUUACCUUAAAUCUUUAAUCUUUAUUUCGAUAUGUGUUGGUUGAGUUCAUCAGAUAAUAAUAUUUAUUAUAUGUGAUGAUUGCGAAUUGGGAAAUGUGGCUUGUAGAACAUGCCGCCUGAUGGGUUACAUCAGGACCGCGUGCGCACCAGUAAUGAUCAUGGAUAUAAGAUUAUUAUGGAUUUGUCUGCCCUGAUCGAGCAUUGCUCUCUGGGCUGAGUUCAGUUGAUUGCCGGAGUUAAGGUCCCUGAUCGAGCAAUGCUCUCUGGGCGCCGGCUUAUUUGGAAUUCAAGUGUUCAGGCUGGAGGUAAGGACCCUGAUCGAGCUUGCUCUCUGGGCGCCAGACCUGUUGGAUUAAGAGAGCCGAAAGGCUACUAGAAAUUUGGGGUUUAGGGUUCUACAGAGCCACUCGUCCCGUAAAAGUAAAAAAUAUAUUUUUAUUUAUUCAUUUAUUUAUUUAUUAUGGUAUGAUUAUAAUAUGGAUUGUAUUUACGUGCAUGGUUGAUAUUUUGAUUCGAAUGAUUAAUAUUUUCUGUGAAGAAAGUAAUAGGGUAUGAUUAUAGUAUGAUUUGUAUUUACGAGCAUGAUUUGAUAUACUAAUUUGAAUAAUCUAUGUUUUCUGAGAAGAAUGCAAUAGUCCCCAGAUUAUUUGAUUUUAACUCACUCUCGAGACUGACAGUCUCAUUUUUACUGUUUUUUCAGAUUUGUGACUGUUAGUUCUCCCACGACUCUUAUUCAGUAACCCGACUCCUUCAUCAUCGGGUGAUGUAUUUGAUUUGGUAUGUAAAUUGGUAAAUCUUAGAUUCUCCGCAGUAGUAAUAGUAGAUGUAUCAGUUGUAAAUUUUUUGAGUUUCAGGUCUCGCCUAGUUCUUCUGGCAGACCGAUUAAAUUAUGUAAAAUGUAGCAUUUAAGAUAAUUUGUGGCUUUAAUAAUAUUAAUUUGAG